rnacentral:rRNA from 1 species
UACGUAGGGUGCGAGCGUUGUCCGGAAUUACUGGGCGUAAAGAGCUCGUAGGUGGUUUGUCGCGUUGUCCGUGAAAACUCACAGCUUAACUGUGGGCGUGCGGGCGAUACGGGCAGACUGGAGUACUGCAGGGGAGACUGGAAUUCCUGGUGUAGCGGUGGAAUGCGCAGAUAUCAGGAGGAACACCGGUGGCGAAGGCGGUUCUCUGGGCAUUACCUGACGCUGAGGAGCGAAAGUGUGGGGAGCGAACAGG